AUACCAGACUCCUACGGGAGGCAGCAGUGGGGAAUCUUCCGCAAUGGGCGAAAGCCUGACGGAGCAACGCCGCGUGAUCGAAUGAAGGCCUUCGGGUUGUAAAGAUCUGUUGACAGGGACGAAUAAGCAAUGCGAAUAGUUUUGUGUAUGACGGUACCUGACUAAGAAGCCCCGGCUAACUACGUGCCAGCAGCCGCGGUAAUACGUAGGGGGCGAGCGUUAUCCGGAUUCACUGGGUGUAAAGGGAGCGUAGACGGCCAAGCAAGCCAGGGGUGAAAGCCCGGGGCCCAACCCCGGGACUGCCCUUGGAACUGCUUGGCUGGAGUGCGGGAGGGGCAGGCGGAAUUCCUGGUGUAGCGGUGAAAUGCGUAGAUAUUAGGAGGAACACCAGUGGCGAAGGCGGCUUACUGGACUGUAGCUGACGUUGAGGCUCGAAAGCGUGGGGAGCAAACAGGAUUAGAUACCCUGGUA
rnacentral:rRNA from 1 species